rnacentral:rRNA from 1 species
UACGAAGGGGGCUAGCGUUGUUCGGAAUCACUGGGCGUAAAGGGCGCGUAGGCGGCUUGAUAAGUCGGGGGUGAAAGCCUGUGGCUCAACCACAGAAUUGCCUUCGAUACUGUCUGGCUUGAGACCGGAAGAGGUAAGUGGAACUGCGAGUGUAGAGGUGAAAUUCGUAGAUAUUCGCAAGAACACCAGUGGCGAAGGCGGCUUACUGGUCCGGAUCUGACGCUGAGGCGCGAAAGCGUGGGGAGCAAACGGG